AUUGAACGCUGGCGGCAUGCCUUACACAUGCAAGUCGAACGGUAACAGGUCUUCGGAUGCUGACGAGUGGCGAACGGGUGAGUAAUACAUCGGAACGUGCCUAGUAGUGGGGGAUAACUACUCGAAAGAGUGGCUAAUACCGCAUGAGAUCUACGGAUGAAAGCAGGGGAUCGCAAGACCUUGUGCUACUAGAGCGGCAGAUGGCAGAUUAGGUAGUUGGUGGGAUAAAAGCUUACCAAGCCGACGAUCUGUGGCUGGUCUGAGAGGACGAUCAGCCACACUGGGACUGAGACACGGCCCAGACUCCUACGGGAGGCAGCAGUGGGGAAUUUUGGACAAUGGGCGCAAGCCUGAUCCAGCAAUGCCGCGUGCAGGAUGAAGGCCUUCGGGUUGUAAACUGCUUUUGUACGGAACGAAAAGCCCUGGGUUAAUACCCUGGGGUCAUGACGGUACCGUAAGAAUAAGCACCGGCUAACUACGUGCCAGCCGCCGCUGUAA
rnacentral:rRNA from 1 species